CUGGGUUUUUCAAACCUGCCUCCCUUACUUUGACAGUGAUACCCUCUGCAAAAGUUAACACAAAUCUAUAGCUGCAUGCACAGUAAAUUUCCAGCAGUGAAGUUCUGGGAUCCAAUCUUCUGAAUUGCUCAUCUCGCAGAAGACAAAGGGAACAGCCCCAGAAUGUCUCCGGAUGUUUCAGUUUAUACUUUGUCAAGUGCCCACCUUUCUACCUUAAAUAUCCAGUCACUGAUCUUCAACAACACUUUAUAAUUUUCUCUCUCUCUCUUUUAACAUGGAAAAUUUCAUUACAUUAGAACAUUUAGUCAUAUAUGAAUAAGCUUCACAUAACGAUUUAUGCAGUUUAGAUUUCAUUAUCACAUUCACUUUAGCAUAAUCCUUUUAAUCCAAAUACUUUUUCUCUUUAAAACUGUUUGUCAAUCACAAUUUGAGCCUAAAUUAAGCCUGUCUUUAAAAUCAUACUCACC